AUGUCAAAUAUCAGUUGGUACCGUCAUUGUUCGGUUCGGCUUCAACUCGUCACACUUGCACUUUUCCUUUUAUUAGGCUCCGCCUCUUUAGGCUCCGCCCACAUUGAUGAAGAGUUCGAAGAUGACGUCACGACGACAAUAUCAUCGAUUGCGUCACCGAUGAGGCGGACGUACACAAAUGAGUGGGCGGUGCGGAUAGCGGGUGGGAAGGUUGAAGAAGCGAACCGACUGGCGAACAAAUACGGGUACACGAAUUUGGGUCCGAUAAUUCCGGGUGACGAGUACUAUUUAUUCCGUGACGAUCGAAAAAAGAGUCGAUCGUCGCGAAAAACGCGAAGCUUAUCAGCAAAUCAGCUUCAACACGAGGAAGAUGUCAUGUGGAUGGAACAGCAAGUGGCGAAGCGGAGAGUGAAAAGAGGAUAUCGAAGGAUUCGACGACAUACUGAUGAUAAUGAUAUUUUUGAAGAGGAUGAUGAUGGUACUCAAAUUAGCAAGUCGAGAAAUAGAAAACAUCCGGAUCCGAACGAUCCGUUGUGGACUGAUAUGUGGUAUUUGAAUCGAGGUGAACAUCAUUCUGACUCAACAACCCGUAUGGAUCACAAUGUAAAAGAAGCCUGGGACCUCGGGUACACAGGAAAAGGAGUCGUCGUCACGAUUCUUGACGACGGUUUGGAAAGAACUCACCCAGAUAUUUCUCCGAAUUACGAUGAACGUGCUUCAUAUGACGUCAACGAUCGAGAUAAUGACCCGAUGCCAAGAUACGAAUUUUCGGAUGAAAAUCGACAUGGAACUCGGUGUGCUGGAGAAGUUGCGGCGAUUUUUAAUAAUAGUUUAUGUAUUGUUGGAAUAGCUUACAAUGCAAAUAUCGGUGGAAUCAGAAUGCUCGAUGGUGACGUCACAGAUGCCGUCGAAGCCGCUUCCGUUGGGCAUAAUGCAGAUUACAUUGAUAUUUAUAGCGCAUCCUGGGGACCGGAUGACGAUGGCCGAACCGUCGACGGCCCCGCAAAACUCACAAGAAGUGCCUUCGAAAAAGGAAUCACCAUGGGUCGAAAAGGAAAAGGCUCAAUUUUUGUAUGGGCAUCAGGAAAUGGAGGAAAAGACGCGGAUUCGUGUAAUUGUGAUGGGUACACCAACUCCAUAUACACGUUAUCCAUAUCAAGUGCCACUGAAAAUGGAAAUAUCCCAUGGUACUCUGAAGCUUGCAGUAGUACCCUUGCGACUACCUACUCUAGUGGAGCAACUGGCGAAAAGAUGAUCCUAACCACAGAUCUACACCACGCGUGCACAAAUAUGCACACGGGGACCAGUGCAAGUGCUCCGUUGGCUGCUGGAAUUGUUGCUCUUGCUCUAGAAGCCAACCCGAAUCUCACGUGGCGAGACCUUCAACAUAUUGUGAUACGAACUGCAAAGCCUAUCAAUUUAAGAGCAGGAGAUUGGACUACAAAUGGGGUUGGGAGAAAUGUGUCCCAUAGUUUUGGUUAUGGGUUGAUGGAUGCUGGAGCCAUGGUGAAGCUGGCAAAGAUCUGGAAGAAGGUUGAUGAGCAGCAUCGGUGCAGGCAGUUUUAUCCGUCGAGAUAUAAGUGAGUAGUUAUCACCCAAAUUUAUGAAAAAUUCCAGAAGUUUCUCGAAUUUUGCAAAAGUUUUCAAAAGUUUCUAAACAUUUCUAAAACUUUCCUGCUGUUUUCAGAAUUUUUAAGAAUUUUCCGUUUUCAGGAGCUAUUAAAAUUUUUUUAGACUUUCUAGAAGUUUGUCAAACAUUUAAAAAUGUUUCCUAAUACUCGAGAAAAUUUUAAAAAUUUACUGAAAAUCCCUGAGAUCUUCAAAAAUUUUUGACAAGUUUCUAGACGUUUCUCAAAUCUUCCAGAAGUUUAUAGAAGUCUACAGAAAUUUCCAAAAAUUUCUCGAUUUUUCCAGAAGUUUCUAGAAGUUUCAGAAGUUCACACAAUUUUCCAGAAAUUUCCAGGGACUUCUACGCGUUUUCAGAAGUUUCCGAAAAUUCUAGAAAUUGAGAAAAUGUUUAGAAAUUCCAAAAAACUCCAAGUUUUUAGAAAUAUCCCCAACGGAAACCGCCUUCAACUCCAACUUUACUCCGACGGAUGUUAUGGUGGAGCCGAUGAGAAUAAGGUGUCUUAUGUGGAGCACGUGCAGGCAAUCGUCACAUUGAAAGCUCCAAAACGUGGAGAUUUGCAAAUCUACUUGACUUCUCCGUCAGGCACAAAAUCCACGUUGCUCACAAAAAGAGCACGCGACACAUCACGAAGUGGCUUCACAGAUUGGGCUUUCAUGACGACCCAUAACUGGGGGGAGCAGGCCGCCGGGCUGUGGAUUCUGGAAAUCGAUAAUGAUGGAUGGGAUGACGCCGAGCUUGUAAAAUGGGAACUCGUGCUCUACGGAACUGAUCGGGAAACCGGCGACUUUGGAGGCCAACAUGCUUCACCGUUAGCCGUCAGAAGUGUCCAGAUGGAAGCCACGUCAUCCGGCACCCAAUAUUCAAUUUUCCACGUCAUCACUCUUGUCAUAUUAACAUUUUCCCAGAUUUUAUAUUAA
rnacentral:misc_RNA from 1 species